rnacentral:lncRNA from 1 species
CACAGAGAGGAAGCUGCUCCAGACAACAUGUGAGGAUACUUACAGACAGGAAUCUUCAGUUUCAAUAACAUCCAGAAGGAAGAAAUGGUCACAGAAAGAGAAAAAUCUGAGAUGAAGGUGCCCUUUAAGACUGCUGCUGUGGAGAAAACUGUUGGAGUUCUCAUCGACAGGACAGCAACACCAAAUCAAUGGGUUAGCAGCAGCCGAUGUGUGGCGUUAUCCGCAAGAUGCAGCCGGGAGUCACAGAUAAUGCCCCCCACUUAUCUCCACAAUUUCAGCAAAUGGUUUCAUCAUUUCUUCCCCCGCUGUCGGCGCCUCUGUUCUGACCCUGUCGCUGUGACGGAGGAAUAGCCAAGUUACAUAAAAUCAUCCCU